AGGUGGGUGUCAAUAUCAGAGUCAAGGAGGAAUGACAUAGCAACUUUCGGACAGUUUAUUUAAGAGAGAAAGAUAGAGACAGUGUGAGCAAUCUAAUUGUGGAAAACCAGAAAUUCCUUCAUCAAAGUUGUAGAGAAAUGAGUGAGGAAGAAAGUUCGAAGGCUUCCAUGAAGAGACUGGACGGAAAACUGGGAAAAUCAAAGGAAAACAGUAGCUUGAUCGAAAUUCGAAAAAAAACAGAGCAUCGUGGAAUUUGAGUUGAUUUCAGGAGUUCUAGAAAUUUUCAAAGCUCCAAACUCUGAGGUUAGGUGAGUUACAAGUUUACCAUGAGUAUUUUGAUCUAAAUUAGAUGGAAUUAGAGCUGGUUUACAGAACUGAAAGUUGUCAAGAAUAGGGUGUGUUACUGUGGGAAGAUUGAAGAUUCUCUCUCAAAACAGUUGAGUAAUUGGAAAACAUUUUUCACGGAAGUUGAAGAGGAUUGAGUAAAGAGGACUCCUGAGGGCUGCUGUAGGAAAGAUAUGAUCCGGAAGGCCAUCAAUUUAAAGAAAGCGAAAAAUCGUAGGUUACUACAGUUUUCGCGAGAAACAGAGCAUCGAGGAGUUUGUGGAAAUUUGGGGUUGUAUGAGGGUUGGUUUAUUUGCAUAACUACAAUGCCCUAGGAUCCAAGGGAGGUGUCGGUGAAUCCCAAUUCAAUCAAGUUCUGAUUGUUGAACUAGACAAGAGUCUUGUAAAAUUAUUUGUAAGAAUCUUUAAGUAUAGUUAUUUAUAAAAAUAAAUUUAAGUUAUGUUGGAAAUCUUAAAGUGUUGUAAGGUAAACAAGUUAGAUUGGAUAGUAAAUAUCACAAAAUGGUGGUAUUUGUUGUGCUCACAUCUCCUCUUAGGUGAAAGAGGUAAAUCUAGAAGUGACAUCUAGUCUGGCUCCACCUCCUCAUAUGCAAGAUCAACUCUGGUCUAUCUAGCUCUACCUCAUAUACGAGAUCAACUCCAGUUCGCCUGACUGUACCUCCUCUGAAGAUCAAGUUCGAUCCUUCUGGCUCUGCCUUUAUGCAAGAUCAAGUUCAGUUUACAAGGUUCUGCUUUAUCUGUGAGAUCAAAUCUGGUUACUUGACUUUGCCUCAUCUACCUGAUUAAUUCUGAUAUGCAUUGUUUCACUUCGCCUACAUGAGCAAGUUCGAUUUACCUAGCUCUGCAUUUGGUUUGCCUAGCUCUGCCUUAUCUGCGAGAUCAGGUUUGUUCUUCUUAGCUCUACAUCAUCUGAGAUCAAAGUUGAGCUUGAAGCUGACAGAAUGCUCAAGUCAAUGUCGUAAGCCAAUACCAACGGAAUCCUCAGAUCGCAGACUGAGAUCGAAACCAACGAAGUACUAAGAUCAAAGGCAGUAGAACACUGAGCUUGAAGCCGACAAAACGCUCAAGUUAAGGACUUGAGCCAAAACCGACUAAAUGCUCAGGUCGCAGACUAAAGAUUAAGCCAACAAAAUACCGAGGUCGAAGUUGACAUAAUACUGAAAUCAAAGCCGGUAGAAUACUGAGCUUGAAGCUGACGAAAUGCUCAAGUUAAGGACUUAGGCCUAAACCGACGUUAUCCUCAAGUCGUGGAUUAAGAUCAGGCUAGCGGAACUCUAAGAUCGAAGUUGAAGGGACGCUAAAAUCAAAUCCUUGAACCACCUCUUGUUUCGUGUAUACCUGCAAAAGAAAAAGAAAACCCACCUUUUACAAAUAUAUUUAGAAGUCGGCGACAUUUAAAAAGUUACCUUCGAAUGCAAGUUAUCAAUAGUUGUAAUUCCUAUAAAAAAAAAUGGGAUAAGUUAGUAAAAAAAAUAAAAUAUUAGAGGAUGUAAAAAAGGAAAUUUGAAAAGAAGAAAAAAAAGGAAAAAAAGGAGGAGAGAAAAAACGUGGCUUCAUGAAAAAUACUCAUUUGAGCAGCAAACCAUAAAAAAGAUGCUGAGAGUCCGAAAUAAAAAGAAAGAGGAGAUGAUCAAAGAUGAAGAAUAUUAAAGAAGAAAAGAAAAAAAAAUAGUGAGAAAAAAAACACAGAAAUAGAAAGAAAAGAAAAAAAAUCCAAAGUUCCAACAGAAAAAGGGAGGAAAAUUUUGGAAGCUGGAGUGAGUUUGAUUAUCUAUAUUUAUAGAUGGUGGUUUUGAUAUAAAUCCAAAUGUUAAUUCAAAUUAGAUUUGAUUCAAAUAGAGAAUCUAAUUCAAUUUGAGCAAAUCAUUAUCA